rnacentral:snoRNA from 1 species
ACGACCUUACUUGAACAGGAUUUGUUCUAUAGGCUUGUACCUCUGUAUCCUUGGUUUAUAAGGAGACAGGACCUAAAACCUGGUUGAUGAAUCAUAUGACCGUGCAAUCUUAGUGUGAUUGACGGGGUUAGAGGUUCUUUAGGGUCUCUGUGAUCUUAGAUCUAAGUCUGAUUGACGUAAGUCUGAUCGACGAAUCGAGCAAGUUUAGAAUCUCUUCGCUGUCGAUGGUCGCCACCCGGUUAGGUCUUCCUCUCCGGGGUGGGUCGCGCGGUUGUCUGACAGGUU